GGACUGUGUGGUGGAAGCCCUCCCUCCUCUCCAGGACUGAAUGGCCAGGUUUGAUCAAUCAAUAGCAGUCCACUGGCUCCGGCCUAAGUGCCCCCUGCUCUAAUCACUCUGCUCUGAAAUAUGGAGGAAGAGAAAAUCUGCUGCCUGACAAGCACAGCCUCAGCACUUAAGUCCCAUCACUCAGAACAUGAAAGACUGAAUGCUGGUGAAAGGACAGAAUAGGGAUCAGCCGGGCUGACGGAGUGGGAAAGUGCAAUUACACCAAAUGAAUCCGUUUCCCACAACCGAACCCACUUCUGGCAACCCUCUUGCCCUUAUCCCCGGGAAAGGAAUCCAGGCCCACCUCGUGACCCUUUCGGCAAAACCUCCUCAAAAUCCCUCACAAUCAUCACGGCUCCCUGACAGACUCUUUUUCCGGAGCCACUCUAUCCUGCAGGUGCCCCUCACAUCAAUCAGACGGGGCAACGCACUAAAAGAAGCCUCUUAUCGAUCUGAUCAAUAGCAGCCAAAGAAACCAGGUCGCUGUCACUCUUUCCUCUGUGUGGGAGGAAGUGUCGCAUGGAUGGAAAGAAAAGGGAAGGAAAUGAGGAAAGAAAGGUGGCGAGGAAGAGGAGAGGAGAAGAGAGGAGGGAUGUGGGCAUUGAGUGAAAAGAUCUCACUUGGAAAAAGGAAAAAAGAAAAAAUCGAAGACCGAGCUAGGGAAGGAGAUGGACAUGGGGCUGGAGUAGGUGGAGGAAGGAGGCAAAGGGAGAGGUUGGCGGGAGGGAGUGGCCUGGCUGCUAUUAUAGCUCCCGGAGAGAAGGAACUCAAUCAGUGGCGAGGCGAGAAGCCCAUUGUGCUGUGGUGUAAUGGGAACUGUGAGAUUUUAUUAAGAGAGAGCAAUUGCAUGUGCUCCUCAUCAGGGUUUCCAUUGUGGCACUGGCGGUCACAAUGACGUCUGGGGAAGAUAGAAACAAGGUAUUUACUGUCUCACAUUCGGAAGAAUAGACGGCUCCAAGAAAUAGGGUUCCACUUUGACAUUAGUGGCUCUGUUGCCUGUAAUUGUCAUGGCAUCCUCUUGUUCGAUCUGCCUCCUUCCCAAUCCCUCUCACUCCAUUAUUCCUGCAGCUCUUUGCCUCGCUCUGUUUGUCCUCUCUCGUUCUCACAGUUUUGUCUUAACUGUACUUGCAGAGCAAGCCUGCACUGUGGCUAUUUAGAGGAGACGUGCGGAGGGAGUGGGGAGGGAGCGAUGUGGGAGGACAGCGUCGUAAUAAGGUGAAUCAGCCUGAAUAGUGACGGACCCGGCCUCGUCAGUUUGAUGCUGUUAGAGUCGGGUUCUCCAGGACACAGACCAUUAAUGUGGCGGCGAGCUGUGUAUUCAUUUUCCCCUCGGUCAGUAUGGAUAACUAUAGGUAAAGGGCAUGUUGUUGAUUGCUCUGCGUUUGCGUACAGCUUCAUGGGAGGAAAAGAAUAGAUUUUCUGUCCGUAUAGGUUAAAUUAUACCUCCCUCACCACUGAGAUACGAGCGACUCCCAUUAAGUGUGUGGCCCGACUUCACAGCAAGAAAAAUGCCCAUUUUUGUGUUCUCCAUACGGGAUCGUACAGGUUGUUUUUGUGUGUUCAAAUCUUAACCAUCGGACAGACUUGGAUUAACAUCGCCGCUAUUUAAAAAGAAAUAAUCGCUUUCAGAGACCAACUCACGAACCUUGGAGAUGAAAGUUCCGUUGAAUAAACAAGAGUAAAAAGAGUUUUUAAUGGUCCCAUAUUUUUU